CCACCAUCGAUUAUCUGCGACAACCGACCCACUACACUGUACCUUCUCAAUCGUCAUCAUCCAAUUUCAAUCGUUUUCAUCUUUUCAAAUAUAACCCAACGUAGGUGGUUUCCUUUCUUGUUGAGUAAAGCUUGCUGUGAAGCCUGUGGAAAUCUUAAAGCAGCAUUUCUUAUAGCAGUGAUUGGAAUUAGGUUAAGAUGGAUAGGGAAUGGAUACUUAAGCAGGACAAAUUCAGUGAAGAGUAUAAAGAAGGGGUUAGAUCUUUUAUGGAGGUUGCAAAACAUCAUGUGAAUGAGAGGAAUGAGACAAUAUGUCCCUGCAUGGAGUGCUUGAAUAAACGUUGGCAGCCUCUUCAUGUUGCUCAUGUCCAUUUGCUGCAUCAUGGAAUGUCAAUUGCAUAUAUGAAAUGGACUGAUCAUGGAGAACACGGAGAUACAUUGACCACCGAGAGUGAUGAGCUAAUUGACGAACCCAAUAGUUUAUUUAACAUGAUUGG